rnacentral:rRNA from 1 species
GGUUUAAUUCGAUGAUACGCGAGGAACCUUACCCGGGCUUGAACUGCAGGAGAACGAUUCAGAGAUGAUGAGGUCCUUCGGGACUCCUGUGGAGGUGCUGCAUGGUUGUCGUCAGCUCGUGCCGUGAGGUGUCGGCUUAAGUGCCAUAACGAGCGCAACCCCUCUCCGUAGUUGCCAUCGGGUGAUGCCGGGCACUCUGCGGACACUGCCACCGUAAGGUGUGAGGAAAGGUGGGGGAUG